UUCCUCACUUACCAACAGAUUUUCCAAAUCAGCUAGCCAAUCAUUUCACUUUCUUUCAUCGUCCAUCCAUCCGGCUCCAUCUACCAUGGUCCAGGCCCCUCCUUUAACUGGAGCUAAUGCCAUUUCUCUGGGUGCUCGGGCCAGACCCCGACAUGAGCCUGACAUCCUGGGGAAAGGCCCAAUGUGGUUCUGUAAUCCCCUCGGACAAGUAUCAAUACCAUCUCAAUCACAUUUGCAGUCUUUGAAUAAUCAUCAUCGUCCACUAUUCCCUCCUUGCCAUGCCAAUUGAAGUUCAUCCGGAUCCCGCACCCGACCCCUGAUGGAGGUUGGCUCAAAGCUAAGAAUCAAAAGUGGCAUCAUUCCCAACCCUUCUUAGUGGGUAGCUCCACCUUUAAGAUGACGUUGAUGACCCCUCACCAAACAACCCACUCUUCUUAUGGACGGGCAUUUGAUGCUAAGAGUUUUAAAACUUGCCGUCUAGUCUCUCAUCAAACGUUCAUCAACGGCAUAUCCACCGAGUGAUGGAGCAGUGAUCUUGCAUUCCGUCGUCCAUCAAAGCAUUCGGCAUUAGCAUCGCUCAAAAGGUCUGGUCACUUUCCAUCACCUUCCACAGCUUCUUCUCCCUCUUUCCAUUCCCUGGCCUUUAAAAAGGGCUUCUACUUUUGCUGUGGGGAUCCAGAUCACUUCAAAAUAGAGUGCUGUAACCCAUUAUGAUGCCUUCGCUGUAGAAAAUUUAGCCAUUCCUAUAAGACCUAUAAGGUGUCUUUUGUCCCCAAUCCAAAUUCUCCUCCGGUUGAUAUCCC
rnacentral:lncRNA from 1 species